GGAGAGAUGGCUGAGCGGUCGAAAGCGGCGGUCUUGAAAACCGUUGAGUCCUUGCGGGCUCCGGGGGUUCGAAUCCCUCUCUCUCCGCCA
rnacentral:tRNA from 1 species